UACGUAGGUGGCAAGCGUUGUCCGGAUUUACUGGGCGCAAAGAGCGCGCAGGCGGUCGUUCAAGUCGCGUGUGAAAGCCCCCGGCUCAACUGGGGAGGGUCACGCGAUACUGAUCGACUCGAAGGCAGGAGAGGGUAGUGGAAUUCCCGGUGUAGUGGUGGAAUGCGUAGAUAUCGGGAGGAACACCAGUGGCGAAGGCGGUUGCCUGGAGCUUUGCUGACGCUGAGGCGCGAAAGCGUGGGGAGCGAACAGG
rnacentral:rRNA from 1 species